CCUACGGGAGGCAGCAGUAGGGAAUCUUUCACAAUGGGCGACAGCCUGAUGGAGCAACGCCGCGUGCAGGCUGAAGGCCUUCGGGUUGUAAACUGCUUUUAUAAGCGAGAAAUAUGAUGGUAACUUAUGAAUAAGGAUCGGCUAACUACGUGCCAGCAGCCGCGGUCAUACGUAGGAUCCGAGCAUUAUCCGGAGUGACUGGGUGUAAAGAGUUGCGUAGGUGGCAUAAUAAGUAGCUAGUGAAAUCUGGUGGCUCAACCAUUCAGACUAUUAGCUAAACUGUUAAGCUCGAGACCGUUAGGGGUAACUGGAAUUUCUAGUGUAGGAGUGAAAUCCGUAGAUAUUAGAAGGAACACCAAUAGCGUAGGCAGGUUGCUGGGACGGUUCUGACACUAAGGCACGAAAGCGUAGGGAGCAAACGGGAUUAGAUACCCUAGUAGUC
rnacentral:rRNA from 1 species